rnacentral:rRNA from 1 species
CGGGUGCGUAACACGUGAGCAACCUACCGAAAUGUGGGGGAUAGCCGGCCUAACGGCCGAGUAAUACCGCAUACGCUUUCAGAGAGGCAUUUCUUUGAAAGGAAACCUACGGGACAUUUCGAGGGGCUCGCGGCCUAUCAGCUAGUUGGCGAGGUAACGGCUCACCAAGGCAACGACGGGUAGCUGGUCUGAGAGGAUGGCCAGCCACAUUGGGACUGAGAUACGGCCCAG